rnacentral:rRNA from 1 species
AUGGCAAUGGCUUAUAAAAGAACAAAUCCCCAACUAGAAUCCCACUCCAGUCUCACUGUCUCAUGCCGGCAGCGUGGACCCUGGCACAAUCUUCCCCUGCUCGACAUUCUCGGCCACGACGUCGGCCGCCGUCGCAGAGUGCGCCACGUCGUACGUCGCGUGCACGCCGAAGAGCACGUAGUACACGAGCAUCGCCACCGUGCAGAUGCCGAAGCGCAGGUAGGCCAUGGACCCGAGGGACCCCAUCAGGAACAGGUUGGUGGCCACGGACAUGGCCGGCAGCCACGGCAUGAGCGGCACGCCGUACACCUUGGGCUGCCGCUGCUGCUUCGCCGCCAGCGCCAGCCCCGCCGCGCCGGCCGCCCAGCCCACGCCGAACACCGCGUACCCCGGCCACCGCCUGGCGUAGCGCGAGUUGUAGUACGCCGAGAGCCCGAUGGACGACAGGACCACCAGCGCCAGGAAGGCGAGGAAGGUGCGCAGCUGCCUGGCCGGGGUCUUCCCGGCCACGUAGUAGCGGCGGACGAGCAGCGCGACGGCCACCAGGGCGAAGAUGAAGAGCGUGCUGAUGGAGGAGACGGAGGCGAGCACGUCCAGGCUCGAGAAGAGCGCCACGCAGGCGGCGCCGAGCGUGACGGCCAUGGUGGCGUACACGGGCGUGCCGGUCCUGGGGUGCACGAGCGCGAAGUAGGGCGGGAUCAUGUGCGUGCGCGCGAUCUGCGUGGUGUAGCGCGCCUGCCCCAGCGCGCCCACCAGGAGGCCGCUCGUCAUGCCCUUGAGCGCGCCGAGCGCCACGACGUAGCGCGCCCACUUGAGCCCGGUCGCGGCGAACGCCACCGAGUAGGCGGCGUUGGGGUCGAUCUCGCUGUACCGCUGCAUGCCGACCAGCGCCAGGGACAUGGCGCAGUACACCACGGUGAUGGCCGACAUGGACGACAGGAGGCCCAGCGGCACGUCCCGGCCGGGGUUCUUGGUCUCUUCCGCCAUGGUGGCCACCAUGUCGAAGCCCGUGUAGGACCAGUACACCACCGCCGCCGCGCGGAACACGCCGGCGGCCCCGAAGGGGAAGAAGGUCGGCUCCACGAGGUUGCUGGAGUGGAAGUGCGAGAAGCCCGCGCCGAUGACGAAGGCGAUGAUGACGAUGCCGAUCACGGACGCCAGCGAGUUGAUGGUGGAGGUGAGGCGCGCGCCGGACAUGGCCAGGGCGGAGGUGCAGAUGAGGACGACGACGGCGAUGGGAUCGAGCAGAUUGAAACCUUCAGCGAGCGCCGGGACGUGGAUGCGGAGCGCGUCGGUGUCGAGUCCGAAGAGCGCGGCGAGGUAGGACGUCCAGGAGCGCCCCAGGCCGGCCGCCCCCACGACGGCCUCCAGCAGUAUGUUCCCGGCGGCGAGGAACGCCGCCAUGUCGCCGAGCUCGACCCGCAGGUACGAGAAGGAGCCCCCGGCAGAUGGGAUCUCGGUGGCGAGCUCCGCGUAGCAGAAGGACGAGAGCAGGGCGGAGAAGCCCGCGGCGGCGUAGGCGAGCGGGAUGGCCGGGCCGGCGUCGAAGCGCGCCUCCUGGCCGGUGAGCACGAAGACGCCGGAGCCGACGACGGAGCCGAAGCCGAGGAAGGCGAGGUCGACCCAGGAGAGGCAGCGGCGCAGCGGGUUCUCGCUCUCCGCGAGCAGCGUCCCCGCCUCGACGGCCUCGGACGAUCGGGCGGCCACGCGGUCGCGCAGGCGCGGCACGGUGGCCGCGAGCGCGCCGCCGUACGCGCGCCAGCUCUGGAACGAGGGCUCCGGGAAAAAAUCGGCCUUGCUCCACCGCCAGUACCGCCGGCCCUGCGGCUGCUCCCCAGCCGCCAUCGCCGCGCACGCAAUUGGGAUUGGAACUUGGACGCGAGUGCUGGGAAAGGCUGGGAUUUGACGAGUGAAUAUAGACGAGUUAUGAGAGGAUUGUAA